UCUACCGGAGAUGAACCAACAGGGAUUGCCCUAGUAACGGCGAGUGAAGCGGCAAGAGCUCAAAUUUGAAAUCUGGCUCCUUUGGGGCCCGAGUUGUAAUUUGUAGAGGGUGCUUUGGCGUCGGCCGUGGCCUAAGUUCCUUGGAACAGGACGUCACAGAGGGUGAGAACCCCGUACGUGGCCGCCGGUCUUCGCCGUGUAAAGCCCCUUCGACGAGUCGAGUUGUUUGGGAAUGCAGCU
rnacentral:rRNA from 1 species